rnacentral:rRNA from 1 species
UCGUGCGAGAAAGUAUCUUCGGAUAUGAGUAGAGCGGCGGACGGGUGAGUAACGCGUAGGAAUCUACCUAGUAGAAGGGGAUAGCCCGGGGAAACUCGGAUUAAUACCGUAUACCUCCUUUGGGAGAAAGAAGGCCUCUCUUUGAAGCUUUCGCUAUUAGAUGAGCCUGCGUAAGAUUAGCUUGUUGGUGAGGUAAAGGCUCACCAAGGCGACGAUCUUUAGCGGGUCUGAGAGGACGAUCCGCCACAUUGGGACUGAGACACGGCCCAGACUCCUACGGGAGGCGGCAGUGGGGAAUAUUGGACAAUGGGCGCAAGCCUGAUCCAGCCAUACCGCGUGUGUGAAGAAGGCCCUAGGGUUGUAAAGCACUUUAAGUUGGGAAGAAAAGUUAUUGGUUAAUACCCAAUAACCGUGACAUUACCAUCAGAAUAGGGACCGGCUAAUUCCGUGCCAGCAGCCGCGGUAAUACGGAAGGUCCAAGCGUUAAUCGGAAUUACUGGGCGUAAAGCGCGCGUAGGUGGUUUAUUAAGUUGGAUGUGAAAUCCCCGGGCUCAACCUGGGAACUGCAUCCAAAACUGAUUCACUAGAGUACGAUAGAGGGAGGUAGAAUUCACAGUGUAGCGGUGGAAUGCGUAGAUAUUGUGAAGAAUACCAAUGGCGAAGGCAGCCUCCUGGAUCUGUACUGACACUGAGGUGCGAAAGCGUGGGAGCGAACGGGAUUAGAU